rnacentral:ncRNA from 2 species
UGAUUUUAGACAUAUCUGGGUAGCCCCAAGGGGCUAAAAAGGGAAUCCCGUGGUCCGCGUUAAGCGGAGAAUCGGGAACGGACCCGCCACUGUAAGCGGUAACGAAACCCGCGAGAAGCCACUGGCCUUAAAAGGCCGGGAAGGCGCGGGGAGUAGGCAGAGAAGACCGCGAGUCAGGAGACCUGCCUGGAUAUGCCUCACGGG